rnacentral:rRNA from 1 species
CAGUCGCCGCGGGAAUACGUAGGGUGCAAACGUUAAUCGGAAUUACUGGGCGUAAAGCGUGCGCAGGCGGUUAUAUAAGACAGAUGUGAAAUCCCCGGGCUCAACCUGGGAACUGCAUUUGUGACUGUAUAGCUAGAGUACGGCAGAGGGGGAUGGAAUUCCGCGUGUAGCAGUGAAAUGCGUAGAUAUGCGGAGGAACACCGAUGGCGAAGGCAAUCCCCUGGGCCUGUACUGACGCUCAUGCACGAAAGCGUGGGGAGCAAACAGGAUUAGAUACCCCUGUAGUCCCUGUCUCUUAUAC